UGGGGAAUAUUGCACAAUGGGCGCAAGCCUGAUGCAGCAACGCCGCGUGAACGAUGAAGGUCUUCGGAUCGUAAAGUUCUGUUGCAGGGGAAGAUAAUGACGGUACCCUGUGAGGAAGCCCCGGCUAACUACGUGCCAGCAGCCGCGGUAAUACGUAGGGGGCUAGCGUUAUCCGGAUUUACUGGGCGUAAAGGGUGCGUAGGUGGUUUAGAAAGUCUGAUGUGAAAGCCCACGGCUCAACCGUGGAGGGUCAUUGGAAACUAAUAAACUUGAGUGCAGGAGAGAAAAGUGGAAUUCCUAGUGUAGCGAUGAAAUGCGUAGAGAUUAGGAGGAACACCGGUGGCGAAAGCGGCUUUUUGGCCUGCAACUGACACUGAGGCGCGAAAGCGUGGGGAGCAAACAGG
rnacentral:rRNA from 1 species